AAGUCGUAACAAGGUUUCCGUAGGUGAACCUGCGGAAGGAUCAUUACUGGGUAAAGGCCUCGCGCCUCCAACCCCACCCUCCGUAACCGCGGCCCGGAUUCGGCGCAAGGGCGGGACCCCCUCUGUUCGCGGAGGGGCCCCGUCCGCCGGAAUCACGCAACCCUGCCUGAAAAAUGCAGUCUGAGAAAAAUGAAAAAUUAGCGAAAACUUUCAACAACGGAUCUCUUGGUUCUG
rnacentral:misc_RNA from 1 species